GGUGGGGUUGGAUAAUGGCUAUUCCACCGGUUUCGAAAACCGGCGCUCAGCAAUGGGCUUGUGGGUUCGAGUCCCACCCCCACCGCCA
rnacentral:tRNA from 1 species